rnacentral:lncRNA from 1 species
UUGCUUGGACACUUGUUUUGAGAUUCAAAAAGUCAGCCACCUCAUGGGACAAGAAGAGUUUGAGGAGAAUUGCUACUUGGACACUUGUUUUGAGAUUCAAAAAGUCAGCCACCUCAUGGGACAAGAAGAGUUUGAGGAGAAUUGCUAACCAUGUCGUGAAGCAAUUUGACCUUAUAGAACAAAACAUAAUAUUUCGAAGGUGUUGACCAUAUAUGAUCGUACUAGAUUUACAUGUGAUUCCCGCUUGGCAGGCUUCCUCCAAUAUCCAAAUAUCAUUUUGACUAUUGGAAUCAUCAACAGGUGUUAUAUGCAUAUGAACAUAAAUUUAGUGAUG